UUCCGUAGGGUUACCUGCGGAGGGAUCAUUACACAAAUAUGAAGGCGGGCUGGAACCUCUCGGGGUUACAGCCUUGCUGAAUUAUUCACCCUUGUCUUUUGCGUACUUCUUGUUUCCUUGGUGGGUUCGCCCACCACUAGGACAAACAUAAACCUUUUGUAAUUGCAAUCAGCGUCAGUAACAAAUUAAUAAUUACAACUUUCAACAACGGAUCUCUUGGUUCUGGCAUCGAUGAAGAACGCAGCGAAAUGCGAUAAGUAGUGUGAAUUGCAGAAUUCAGUGAAUCAUCGAAUCUUUGAACGCACAUUGCGCCCUUUGGUAUUCCAAAGGGCAUGCCUGUUCGAGCGUCAUUUGUACCCUCAAGCUUUGCUUGGUGUUGGGCGUCUUGUCUCUAGCUUUGCUGGAGACUCGCCUUAAAGUAAUUGGCAGCCGGCCUACUGGUUUCGGAGCGCAGCACAAGUCGCACUCUCUAUCAGCAAAGGUCUAGCAUCCAUUAAGCCUUUUUUUCAACUUUUGACCUCGGAUCAGGUAGGGAUACCCGCUGAACUUAAGCAUAUCAAAA
rnacentral:rRNA from 1 species